CUAUGAUCAGAUCGGCUCGAGCUCCCAAGGCAACGAUCCCUAGCUGGUCUGAGAGGAUGAUCAGCCACACUGGAACUGAGACACGGUCCAGACUCCUACGGGAGGCAGCAGUGGGGAAUAUUGCACAAUGGGGGAAACCCUGAUGCAGCCAUGCCGCGUGUAUGAAGAAGGCCUUCGGGUUGUAAAGUACUUUCAGUCGUGAGGAAGACAUUGUAGUUAAUAGCUGCAGUGUUUGACGUUAGCGACAGAAGAAGCACCGGCUAACUCCGUGCCAGCAGCCGCGGUAAUACGGAGGGUGCGAGCGUUAAUCGGAAUUACUGGGCGUAAAGCGCAUGCAGGCGGUCUGUUAAGCAAGAUGUGAAAGCCCGGGGCUCAACCUCGGAACCGCAUUUUGAACUGGCAGACUAGAGUCUUGUAGAGGGGGGUAGAAUUUCAGGUGUAGCGGUGAAAUGCGUAGAGAUCUGAAGGAAUACCGGUGGCGAAGGCGGCCCCCUGGACAAAGACUGACGCUCAGAUGCGAAAGCGUGGGGAGCAAACAGGAUUAGAUACCCUGGUAGUCCACGCCGUAAACGAUGUCUACUUGAAGGUUGUGGCCUUGAGCCGUGGCUUUCGGAGCUAACGCGUUAAGUAGACCGCCUGGGGAGUACGGUCGCAAGAUUAAAACUCAAAUGAAUUGACGGGGGCCCGCACAAGCGGUGGAGCAUGUGGUUUAAUUCGAUGCAACGCGAAGAACCUUACCUACUCUUGACAUCCAGAGAAGUUACCAGAGAUGGUUUCGUGCCUUCGGGAACUCUGAGACAGGUGCUGCAUGGCUGUCGUCAGCUCGUGUUGUGAAAUGUUGGGUUAAGUCCCGCAACGAGCGCAACCCUUAUCCUUGUUUGCCAGCACGUAAUGGUGGGAACUCCAGGAAGACUGCCCGGUGAUAACCGGAAGGAGGGUGGGAACCACGUCAAGUCAUCCUGGCCCCUUACGAGUUAGGGCUACCCCCCUGGCUACAAUGGGCUUAUACCGAGGGCUUGCCCACCCACCGAUGGGUGACCCAAACCCACCAAAGUACCCUCCUAAUCCCCGGAAUCGGAAAUCUGCAACUCCCACCUCCCCGGGAAGGCG
rnacentral:rRNA from 1 species